GCCAACUACGUGCCGGCAACGGCGGUAAUGCGGAGGGUGCAAUCGUUAAUCGGAAUUACUGGGCGUAAAGCGCACGCAUGCUGUUGGAUAAGUUAGAUGUGAAAGCCCCGGGCUCAAGCUGGGAAUUGCAUUUAAAACUGUCCAGCUAGAGUCUUGUAGAGGGGGGUAGAAUUCCAGGUGUAGCGGUGAAAUGCGUAGAGAUCUGGAGGAAUACCGGUGGCGAAGGCGGCCCCCUGGACAAAGACUGACGCUCAGGUGCGAAAGCGUGGGGAGCAAACAGGAUUAGAUACCCGAGUAGUC
rnacentral:rRNA from 1 species